rnacentral:rRNA from 1 species
UACGGGGGGGCAAGCGUUGUUCGGAAUUACUGGGCGUUAAAGGCUCGUAGGCGGCCAACUAAGUCAUACGUGAAAUCCCUCGGCUUAACCGGGGAACUGCGUCUGAUACUGGAUGGCUUGAGUUCGGGAGAGGAUGCGGAAUUCCAGGUGUAGCGGUGAAAUGCGUAGAUAAUCUGGAGGAACACCGGUGGCGAAGGCGGCA